ensembl:lncRNA
AUGGAGCUGUCGCACCCCCCCAAUCAAGACGCCUCCUCGCACCCCUUCUCCUCUCCCCCUCAGCCCUCGGCCGUCCUGGGAACCACCUCCCUGUUCUCCCGCGAGCGAGACGCUUUGUCUUCGCCUCCCAAAUCGGCAGGAGUCUCUUUCUCGCUCUCGCUGUCUCCUCCCCCCGCCUCCAGCUCCUCAAAGAAGAGCUCCGCGAUGAAUGUGACGCCUAGGAAGGGCACUAGGAAGAGCCCCGGCGUCUCGCCCAACCCUCCCGCCCGGAGGGGACGGCCGCCGAAGAAGCAGAAAGAACUGCAGCUGAAGAAGCAGGAGGAGGCAGAGCGGGCGAAAGAGGAGGCGCCUGGGAAACAGGAGGAGAAUGAAGACGAGGAGGACUUCGACGCAAGCACAGAGCAGAAGAACGGAGAGAUGGCGAGGGAAGCGCGGCGUGCUGAAGCGGCCGUGGUCGGAGGCGGAGCGUGUCGCCGUGGAGACGCACCUGAAGAGGAACAUCAUGGAGCUGCGUGUUCCUGCGAAAGCGGACUGUGAGCGGUGCCUGCAGCUCUGCCCUCUGCUGGUCAGCAACCAGCGCGACUGGAGGGCCAUCAAGUUCUACUGCCACAACCGCAUCCAGCUCCUGAAGAAACAGGGACGCAGAGACGGGAACACCGCCGCCGUCUGCUAACCGCAGUAACACACACGGACAGGACGCGCUCUGACAUCACCUCACGCAGGCUGCUUCUGUCAAAAACACAGAAUCAUCGGAUACAUCUUUAACAUGUCCGUCAAGUGCCAAAAAUGACAAACGCCACAUAGGAGUAUCUUAACAGCAGCCCAUGUGCUCUCUUUUCCACUAGAAUAUUCACUUGUGUUUGAACAGCUGCACACUGAGAGUGAAUACAGAGUCCCAGCAUCACGUGACUGCUUUCAUGCUGUAGCUGGAUCUUGAUGGACUGGUCACUUUGAACUCAUGUGGAAAAGAGUUCCUGAACACACUCUCGCCACAUUCCCCCGUGUGUGUGAUUCCCGGACCGUUUCUGUUUCUCACACACAUGUUCAGACUCCUCAGAAACGCAGCAGCGAUGAACCGGAGCAGGUGUGGUGACGUUACUGUUGUUACACGGAUGACGAUGUGGAGUUUUGCUCUGAAGGAUGCGGACUGGUCUCUCUCUCUCUCUCUCUCUCUCUCUCUCUCUCU